GGUGAAAAGCACCCCGGAAGGGGAGUGAAAUAGAACCUGAAACCGUGUGCUUACAAGUAGUCAGAGCCCGUUAAUGGGUGAUGGCGUGCCUUUUGUAGAAUGAACCGGCGAGUUACGAUUUGAUGCAAGGUUAAGCAGUAAAUGUGGAGCCGUAGCGAAAGCGAGUCUGAAUAGGGCGUUUAGUAUUUGGUCGUAGACCCGAAACCAGGUGAUCUACCCUUGGUCAGGUUGAAGUUCAGGUAACACUGAAUGGAGGACCGAACCGACUUACGUUGAAAAGUGAGCGGAUGAACUGAGGGUAGCGGAGAAAUUCCAAUCGAACCUGGAGAUAGCUGGUUCUCUCCGAAAUAGCUUUAGGGCUAGCCUCAAGUGAUGAUUAUUGGAGGUAGAGCACUGUUUGGACGAGGGGCCCCUCUCGGGUUACCGAAUUCAGACAAACUCCGAAUGCCAAUUAAUUUAACUUGGGAGUCAGAACAUGGGUGAUAAGGUCCGUGUUCGAAAGGGAAACAGCCCAGACCACCAGCUAAGGUCCCAAAAUAUAUGUUAAGUGGAAAAGGAUGUGGCGUUGCCCAGACAACUAGGAUGUUGGCUUAGAAGCAGCCAUCAUUUAAAGAGUGCGUAAUAGCUCACUAGUCGAGUGACACUGCGCCGAAAAUGUACCGGGGCUAAACAUAUUACCGAAGCUGUGGAUUGUCCUUUGGACAAUGGUAGGAGAGCGUU
rnacentral:rRNA from 1 species